rnacentral:snRNA from 1 species
GUACUCGCUUCGACAACACAUACAUUAAAAUUGGAACGACACAGAAAAGAUUAACAUGGCCCUGUGCAAGGAUAACAUGCAAAUUCAUGAAGCAGUUCAUAUUUAA